GACGAACGCUGGCGGCGUGCUUAACACAUGCAAGUCGAACGGAAAGGCCUGCUUUCCCUUGUGGAUUGCGGGUGCUCGAGUGGCGAACGGGUGAGUAACACGUGAGUGAUCUGCCCCCAACUUGGGUAUAAGCCUGGGAAACUGGGUCUAAUUCCCGAUAGGACUGCAGGGUGGUGCCUGUGGUGGAAACGGUUUUUCUGGUGUUUGGGAGUGGGCUGGAGGCCUAUCAGCUGGUUGGGUGGGUAAUGGCCUACCAAGGCGGCGCCGGGUAGCCGGCCUGGGAGGGUGGACGGCCACAUUGGGACUGAGAUACGGCCCAGACUCCUACGGGAGGCAGCAGUGGGGAAUAUUGCACAAUGGGCGGAAGCCUGAUGCAGCGACGCCGCGUGGGGGAUGACGGCCUUCGGGUUGUAAACUCCUUUCGACCGCGAGGAAGCCACCUGGUUGGAAGGGUGGUGACGGUAGUGGUAGAAGAAGCACCGGCUAACUACGUG
rnacentral:rRNA from 1 species